UACGUAGGGCGCAAGCGUUAGUCCGGAAUUAUUGGGCGUAAAGUAGCUCGUAGGCGGUUUGUCGCGUCUGCCGUGAAAGUCCGGGGCUCAACUCCGGAUACUGCGGUGGGUACGGGCAGACUAGGAGUGCAGUAGGGGAGACUGGAAUUCCAUGGUGUAGCGGUGAAAUGCGCAGAUAUCAGGAGGAACACCGAUGGCGAAGGCAGGUCUGCUGGGACUGUAACUGACGCUGAGGAGCGAAAGCGUGGGGAGCGAACAGG
rnacentral:rRNA from 1 species